rnacentral:rRNA from 1 species
GAUGAACGCUGGCGGCGUGCCUAAUACAUGCAAGUCGAGCGAACAGACGAGGAGCUUGCUCCUCUGACGUUAGCGGCGGACGGGUGAGUAACACGUGGAUAACCUACCUAUAAGACUGGGAUAACUUCGGGAAACCGGAGCUAAUACCGGAUAAUAUAUUGAACCGCAUGGUUCAAUAGUGAAAGACGGUUUUGCUGUCACUUAUAGAUGGAUCCGCGCCGCAUUAGCUAGUUGGUAAGGUAACGGCUUACCAAGGCAACGAUGCGUAGCCGACCUGAGAGGGUGAUCGGCCACCCUGGAACUGAGACACGGUCCAGACUCCUACGGGAGGCAGCAGUAGGGAAUCUUCCGCAAUGGGCGAAAGCCUGACGGAGCAACGCCGCGUGAGUGAUGAAGGUCUUCGGAUCGUAAAACUCUGUUAUUAGGGAAGAACAAAUGUGUAAGUAACUAUGCACGUCUUAACGGUACCUAAUCAGAAAGCCACGGCUAACUACGUG